UGGCGAACGGGUGAGUAAUACAUAAGUAACCUGCCCUAGACAGGGGGAUAACUAUUGGAAACGAUAGCUAAGACCGCAUAGGUACGGACACUGCAUGGUGACCGUAUUAAAAGUGCCUCAAAGCACUGGUAGAGGAUGGACUUAUGGCGCAUUAGCUGGUUGGCGGGGUAACGGCCCACCUAGUCUUCGAUGGAUAGGGGUUCUGAGAGGAAGGUCCCCCACAUUGGAACUGAGACACGGUCCAAACUCCUACGGGAGGCAGCAUG
rnacentral:rRNA from 1 species